rnacentral:rRNA from 1 species
GCCAGACUCCUACGGGAGGCAGCAGUGGGGAAUAUUGCACAAUGGGGGGGAACCCUGAUGCAGCGACGCCGCGUGAGUGAAGAAGUAUUUCGGUAUGUAAAGCUCUAUCAGCAGGGAAGAAAAUGACGGUACCUGACUAAGAAGCCCCGGCUAACUACGUGCCAGCAGCCGCGGUAAUACGUAGGGGGCAAGCGUUAUCCGGAUUUACUGGGUGUAAAGGGAGCGUAGACGGCUAUGCAAGUCUGGAGUGAAAGGCGGGGGCCCAACCCUCGGACUGCUCUGGAAACUGUAGAGCUAGAGUGCAGGAGAGGUAAGUGGAAUUCCUAGUGUAGCGGUGAAAUGCGUAGAUAUUAGGAAGAACACCAGUGGCGAAGGCGGCUUACUGGACUGUAACUGACGUUGAGGCUCGAAAGCGUGGGGAGCAAACAGGAUUAGAUACCCCAGUAA